ACAAAUGAAGUAUAGUAUAUAUGAAGUAUAGUAUAUAUGAAGUAAGUAUAUAUAAUUAAUUAGUCAUUAUUUUUCAGCUAAUCCAUUUUCUUUUGGAAACCAAUGAAAACUCAUAUGCAGAACCUAUUGACCAACCUGGACUAUCAGCAUCUAAGGAAACAGCUCAAUGAAGACAUGAAUAGUGACAAAAAUAUCCCACACUCAAUCCAUAUUGAAGAAUAAAUCAACUUUGUGCAACAUAUACAGAUAGAAUUGCCCAGUCAUUGUCCAUCAUAUGUGCUAAGGAAUGUUCAAGUGAAGAAUGAAGAAGUGAAGAUAAUGAACAAUCCUGUAUAAAGAAUACAAAAUUAAAAGUUUAAGAAUUAA